rnacentral:rRNA from 1 species
AUUGCCCUAGUAACGGCGAGUGAAGCGGCAACAGCUCAAAUUUGAAAUCUGGCGUCUUCGGCGUCCGAGUUGUAAUUUGCAGAGGGCGCUUUGGCAUUGGCAGCGGUCCAAGUUCCUUGGAACAGGACGUCACAGAGGGUGAGAAUCCCGUACGUGGUCGCUAGCCUUUACCGUGUAAAGCCCCUUCGACGAGUCGAGUUGUUUGGGAAUGCAGCUCUAAAUGGGAGGUAAAUUUCUUCUAAAGCUAAAUACUGGCCAGAGACCGAUAGCGCACAAGUAGAGUGAUCGAAAGAUGAAAAGCACUUUGGAAAGAGAGUUAAAAAGCACGUGAAAUUGUUGAAAGGGAAGCGCUUGCAGCCAGACUUGCCUGUAGUUGCUCAUCCGGGUUUCUACCCGGUGCACUCUUCUACGGGCAGGCCAGCAUCAGUUUGGGCGGUUGGAUAAAGGUCUCUGUCAUGUACCUCCUUUCGGGGAGAACUUAUAGGGGAGACGACAUGCAACCAGCCCGGACUGAGGUCCGCGCAUCUGCUAGGAUGCUGGCGUAAUGGCUGUAAGCGGCCCGUCUUGAAACACGGACCAAGGAGUCUAACAUCUAUGCGAGUGUUUGGGUGUCAAGCCCGAACGCGUAAUGAAAGUGAACGGAGGUGGGAACCUUUCGGGGUGCACCAUCGACCGAUCCUGAUGUCUUCGGAUGGAUUUGAGUAAGAGCAUAGCUGUUGGGACCCGAAAGAUGGUGAACUAUGCUUGAAUAGGGUGAAGCCAGAGGAAACUCUGGUGGAGGCUCGCAGCGGUUCUGACGUGCAAAUCGAUCGUCAAAUUUGGGCAUAGGGGCGAAAGACUAAUCGAA